CCCGCGGCCUCGGCCGCCUGCGCCGGCGCGCGGCGCCUUUGUCAGCGCGGCGGUCGGCGGAGGUUCAGCCCCGGUCCGCCCGCGCGCCCCGAGCGAGGAGGCGCUCGAUUUUCUCAGGACCCUGCCCCUCUUCCAGAGGGGAAUUUGAAGGAGGAGGACAGAAGAACUCAUAAACUCUUAGAAGUCUUAAAGCCAUGUCCAAGGAACAUUCCGCACCUCCACUGAGCACAUUAUUUGAGGUGAUUUUGAG
rnacentral:lncRNA from 1 species